AUUGAACGCUGGCGGCAGGCCUAACACAUGCAAGUCGGGCGAGAGGCGGACGGGCGAGUAAGGUAUGGGGACCUGACUGCUGGAGGCGGAUAACAACGGGAAACGGUAGCCAAAACCGCAUAACAUCAGAUGAACCCAUAGGGGAUUAGCUUGUAGGUGGGGUAACGGCUCACCUAGGCGCCGAUCCCUAGCUGGUCUGAGAGGAUGAUCAGCCACACGGGGACUGAGACACGGCCCAGACUCCUACGGGAGGCAGCAGUGGGGAAUAUUGCACAAUGGGCGCAAUCCUGAUGCAGCCAUGCCGCGUGUAUGAAGAAGGCCUUCGGGUUGUAAAGCACUUUAAGUAGGGAAGCGUUACCUACAGAAUAAGCACCGGCUAACUUCGUGCCAGCAGCCGCGGUAAUUC
rnacentral:rRNA from 1 species